GGUUUCCUGGUGUAAUGGCUAGCACUGCGGAUUCUGAGUCCCCCCCUGACAUGAGGUACACCUUAAGCGACGGCUAGGGCCCCUUGAUCAGAAAAGGUGGAGGAGACUUCCGCCAAUCUGGGUUCGAUUCCCAGGGAGACCU